UGGGGAAUAUUGCACAAUGGGCGCAAGCCUGAUGCAGCCAUGCCGCGUGUGUGAAGAAGGCCUUCGGGUUGUAAAGCACUUUCAGCGAGGAGGAAGGUGGUGAGCUUAAUACGCUCAUCAAUUGACGUUACUCGCAGAAGAAGCACCGGCUAACUCCGUGCCAGCAGCCGCGGUAAUACGGAGGGUGCAAGCGUUAAUCGGAAUUACUGGGCGUAAAACGCACGCAGGCGGUUUGUUAAGUCAGAUGUGAAAUCCCCGGGCUCAACCUGGGAACUGCAUUUGAAACUGGCAAGCUAGAGUCUCGUAGAGGGGGGUAGAAUUUCCAGGUGUAGCGGUGAAAUGCGUAGAGAUCUGGAGGAAUACCGGUGGCGAAGGCGGCCCCCCUGGACGAAGACUGACGCUCAGGUGCGAAAGCGUGGGGCAGCAAACAGGAUUAGAUACCCUGGUAGUCCACGCUGUAAACGAUGUCGAUUUGGAGGUUGUGCCCCUUGAGGCGUGGCUUCCGGAGCUAACG
rnacentral:rRNA from 1 species